UUUUACCCUCAGAUGGCCCAACGUUGCGGCUACACCAGCGUCCAGAUCCUGGACCCUUACCGGCCCGGCAUCCUGCGGUCCAUCCUCAGGAUCAGAGGACCAGCCUCCCUGAUCGGCCUCUCACCUGGUCCCACACCUGACCGCGACCCUGGCAGCUUGGAUACUGUCUCUCCUUCCAGGAGCUCGGCGAAGCGAUGCUUCAUGUGGAGGACUUUCUCCAUCCUGGACCCCAACCGGUCAGGCAUCCCACGGCUCAUCUUCCAUAAAAUCCCAGUCUCAAAACCUAAGACCGGCUCCUCCACUCGCUGUGCACGUGGGUGUUCCUUUUGGCCGUCUCCUCCCUCCUUUGAGUCCUCUGGCACCUUCUCCUCUCCCUCUUCUUCUACCUCCUCCUCCUCUAAUUCUUCCUCUAGCUCCUCCUCUAGUUCUUUUUCUAGGCCCUUCUUUAGUUCUUCUUCCAGCUCCUCCUCUAAAUCUUCCUGUACCAUCUCCCCAAUUUCCACCCCAAGGCGACUUAAGAGAAGGUACGUUAUUUCAGAUAAAUGGUCCAUGGAAACAUUAUGAUUACUCCUGAGACAUAAAUCCUUUAAUCCUUAAAAUAUAUUCUUAAGGUUAGUUCUAUCAGGUUCUGUUAGUAGAUUGACUUCAUGUGGCUGUUAAAAUCCACAGUCCAUUGCUACACCUAGGCACCUACACCUACGUCUUGGUCUCUAGUUUUCAAUAUUGUUGAUCCAAGCAGAGCUUAGACUUCCUAUUGUUCCUCCAUGCCCUCAAAACCACUACAUUCGUUUUGUCUUUUGUUCAAUUAAAGAAGUUUCUGCAACAAACUAUUGUUGCACUCACUGUCUGUUUGUACUGGAGAAAAGUCCCCUUGUCACAUGUUCUGUUUGAUGUGCAAAAUGAUAACUUAUUAAUGGGGUUUUCCAAAGUGGCUCUAAUCCACAUCAGGGACCAGGUAAGUCUGUAAGGGUAGCCCCCUGACCACUCAGGAUCCAGGUAAGUUUUUAAGGGUAAGUCCCCUGACCAGUAAAAAACAGGAGGCUUGAUGGAGUGGAGUGGGUCAACCAGUUAAACAGCUGGUGGUGCAAACAAGACGCUAGAACUCCGGGUAACAUUAAGCACCAGGAACAAGGUAGGCCUACAAAGGUAAGCCCCCCUAAACCCCCGCAGGGACGAGGAGAACCUUCAAAAGACAGGCCCCCAAAACCGCCUAAGAGACCUGGUGAACCUUUGAAGGUAAGUCCUCCUGAACCACCUCAGGGACCUGCUCAAUCUUUAAAGGUAAGAGUCCCUGAACCUCCUCAAGGACCCAGGGGACCAUUCGAAGUAAGUCCUGUUGAGUGUCGGCCGUUAUGGGACCAGCCUGAGCCGGAGUGGGUGGUAGACAUGAGGCUUUAUCUGAAGCGGAGAGACCAGUUUGACAGCUGGUGGUGCAAAACACACACUGAAGCUCCAGGUAAUACCCGACACUAUGAUCCAAAGAAGAAUGUUUAUUCAUUUGAAAGGACUUUAUCUGAGUUUGAAAUUACUUAUUCAAAUUAAAAUGAUUUACAUGGUGUAAAGAUUUGAGGUUUAAUCAAGCUGUAUUUAUUUUAUUUUAUAGUAUUUCAGUAUUGAUGCUUCCACCUUCCAAUUCUGUAUGACAGACAAACUUAUUAUCUCCACCUACUUCCUCUGAAGUUACUGUGCAAUCCUCCACCAAUCUGUUUAAAGUGCCUUCUAAACUAAAUCUUACUUUCAUAUUACGUAAAGCCAUCUGCUGUCCUGGCCUCUGCCCUAAGGCAGCAGACAGCUGCUUUAACAUGCUCCACCAAGAUUAUUCUGUUCCUCAGGCCUCUUUCUGCCAGAGGCCAGGGGAUUCGGCCUGCAAGACUAGCAAGCUUCCUGAACCCCCAUCUCUGGUCCCUGCUCUUGACUUGAAACUCACCUCAACUUCAAGAUUCUGUUUAAAAUCUGAAGUUCAAAGCUUCACCCACAACCUCUGCCAGUAAACUGUAAGAGCCUCCACCACCUACGUUUGACUGGCAGAUUUACCAGCAGCCAAGGACUGUCUACAAGAUCAUCAGAUAGGCUUCUUCCUCCCCUUAAUCCUCUACAUUCAACUUCUGUUAUGGUCAAAACUCAAUAAAAU